GAGGCUUUGAAGCCACCGGUUGGUCAUAUUUAAGGAGCAGUCAUCCAUAGGAAUCAAUGGAAUUCUACAGGCCAUGGAGCCGGACCCUCCCCGGACCCUCUACAGGUCACACCAGAGCCCAGCUGAUCCUCUGGAAGGAGAGAACCUUUGAACCGGCGUCAGGUCCAGAGCUCCACCACACUGACAUGGAUCCUUUCCCAGAGAUGGCUUUGAUGGUCCUGUCGUGUCACAAGGAGGAGGGACAAAAUUAGCAAUCAGAGACCCCAGUUCUCUCUCUCCCUUCCCCUAGUCUCUCUGUCUCUCCCCUGCCCCAUAU